AGAGUUUGAUCCUGGCUCAGGAUGAACGCUAGCGGCAGGCCUAAUACAUGCAAGUCGAGGGGUAGAGUUAGCUUGCUAACUUGAGACCGGCGCACGGGUGCGUAACGCGUAUGCAACCUACCUUAAUCUGGGGGAUAGCCCGAAGAAAUUCGGAUUAACACCGCAUAAAAACACAGGAUAGCAUUAUCCAAUGUUCAAAUAUUUAUAGGAUUAAGAUGGGCAUGCGUGUCAUUAGCUAGUUGGCGGGGUAACGGCCCACCAAGGCGACGAUGACUAGGGGAUCUGAGAGGAUGACCCCCCACACUGGUACUGAGACACGGACCAGACUCCUACGGGAGGCAGCAGUAAGGAAUAUUGGUCAAUGGAGGCAACUCUGAACCAGCCAUGCCGCGUGCAGGAAGACUGCCCUAUGGGUUGUAAACUGCUUUUAUCUGGGAAUAAACCUAUUUACGUGUAGAUAGCUGAAUUACCAGAAGAAUA
rnacentral:rRNA from 1 species